rnacentral:lncRNA from 1 species
GCAGUGGCUCACGCCUGUAAUCCCAGCACUUUGGGAGGCCAAGAUGGGCAGAUCACAAGGUCAGGAGUUUGAGACCAGCCUGGCCAAUACGGUGAAACUCCGUCCCUACUAAAAAAUACAAAAAACCAGCUGGGCGUGGUGGCAAGUGCCUGUAGUCCCAGCUACUCAGGAGGCUGAGGCAGGAGAAUUGCUAGAACCCGGGAGGUGGAGGUUGCAGUGAGC